CUAGACACUCAGACUGAGGAAAGAGACUAUGAGGAUGCAGUCCCCCAACCCGUUGUUGGGGGAAUUGCAGGGCCUGGGUUGCAGCAAGGUUUAAAGGGAGGUAAACUCACACUUUGACAGAAAACUCUGUUUAGGGCAAGAGAUCUGGAUGGGAAGGCUAAUAGUUUUAACUGCUUUCUUGUUUGGAGGCAAUCUAAUCCACAGACUCAAAACCAAACAUCAGAGGAGGGAGAAUGAGGCGUGGCUUUGAGAAAUAACCUGGCAGUUCUAUUUCUGUGAUGUCUGGUGAUCGUGCCCAUGCAGGGAGACAAAGGAUCUUGCAUGGAACUAUGAAAAUUGGCAGCUGUCACCAACCUUUUUAUUAUUACCAGUUGGUCAAUGGCUGACCUCAGUCUGCAAUUGAGCGUUGCAACAAACCACCUUGGGACUAAGACUGAAGACAUCCUGAAUGUCUAAAUAAUAAGAAGUGGGGAGAUGUGAGGAGCAGAUGGAGUCCUG